rnacentral:rRNA from 1 species
CCUACGGGUGACAGCAGUCGAGAAUCAUUCACAAUGGGGGAAACCCUGAUGGUGCGACGCCGCGUGGGGGAAUGAAGGUCUUCGGUUUGUAAACCCCUGUCAUGUGGGAGCAAAUUACAAAGAUAGUACCACAAGAGGAAGAGACGGCUAACUCUGUGCCAGCAGCCGCGGUAAUACAGAGGUCUCAAGCGUUGUUCGGAAUCAUUGGGCGUAAGGCGUGCGUAGGCGGUUUCGUAAGUCGUGUGUGAAAGGCCCGGGCUCAACCCGCGAACGGCCCAUGAUACUGGGAGACUAGAGUAAAGGUGGGGGAGGCGGAAUGCACGGUGUAGCAGUGAAAUGCGUAGAGAUC